AACGAACGCUGGCGGCAGGCCUAACACAUGCAAGUCGAGCGCUCGUAGCAAUACGAGAGUGGCAGACGGGUGAGUAACACGUGGGAACCUUCCCUAUGGUUCGGAAUAGCUCAGGGAAACUUGGGGGUAAUACCGGAUAAGCCCUUCGGGGGAAGGAUUUAUCGCCAUUGGAUGGGCCCGCGUAGGAUUAGCUAGUUGGUGAGGUAAAGGCUCACCAAGGCGACGAUCCUUAGCUGGUCNGAGAGGAUGAUCAGCCACACUGGGACUGAGACACGGCCCAGACUCCUACGGGAGGCAGCAGUGGGGAAUAUUGGACAAUGGGCGCAAGCCUGAUCCAGCCAUGCCGCGUGCAGGAAGAAAGCCUUCUGGGUUGUAAACUG
rnacentral:rRNA from 1 species